GUGUGUGUGUCUUAGUUGGUAAAGUCCUGACCUUACAAGCAUGAGAACCUGAGUUCAAUUCCCAGCACCUACA
rnacentral:tRNA from 1 species